rfam:Helianthus annuus linkage group 16, whole genome shotgun sequence.
AGUCGAACGAGAUAUUGGUUCGGUUCAAUAAGAACAUAAUGUUCAAAUGGCGUGUUGAAUGUUGCUUUCUGAUUGAGCCGUGCCAAUAUCACGUGCAUGUUG